rnacentral:rRNA from 1 species
AGGAAUGCCGGUGGCGAAGGCGGCCCCCCCUGGACAGAUACUUGACAUUCAGAUGCGAUAAGCGUGGGGAAGCAAAACAGGGAUUAGAUACCCCUGGUAGUCCACGCCGUAAACGAUGUCUACUUGGAGGGUUGUUGGCCUUGAGCCGUGGCUUUCGGAGCUAACGCGUUAAGUAGACCGCCUGGGGAGUACGGUCGCAAGAUUAAAACUCAAAUGAAUUGACGGGGGCCCGCACAAGCGGUGGAGCAUGUGGUUUAAUUCGAUGCAACGCGAAGAACCUUACCUACUCUUGACAUCCAGAGAACUUUCCAGAGAUGGAUUGGUGCCUUCGGGAACUCUGAGACAGGUGCUGCAUGGCUGUCGUCAGCUCGUGUUGUGAAAUGUUGGGUUAAGUCCCGCAACGAGCGCAACCCUUAUCCUUGUUUGCCAGCGAGUAAUGUCGGGAACUCCAGGGAGACUGCCGGUGAUAAACCGGAGGAAGGUGGGGACGACGUCAAGUCAUCAUGGCCCUUACGAGUAGGGCUACACACGUGCUACAAUGGCGCAUACAGAGGGCAGCAAGCUAGCGAUAGUGAGCGAAUCCCAAAAAGUGCGUCGUAGUCCGGAUUGGAGUCUGCAACUCGACUCCAUGAAGUCGGAAUCGCUAGUAAUCGUGGAUCAGAAUGCCACGGUGAAUACGUUCCCGGGCCUUGUACACACCGCCCGUCACACCAUGGGAGUGGGCUGCAAAAGAAGUAGGUAGUUUAACCUUCGGGAGGACGCUUACCACUUUGUGGUUCAUGACUGGGGUGAAGUCGUAAC